rnacentral:rRNA from 1 species
UACGUAGGGGGCAAGCGUUGUCCGGAUUUAUUGGGCGUAAAGAGCUCGUAGGUGGUUUGGUAAGUCGGAUGUGAAAUCUCCAGGCUCAACCUGGAGGGGUCAUUCGAUACUGCCAUGACUAGAGGUCGGUAGGGGAGUGUGGAAUUCCUGGUGGAGCGGUGAAAUGCGCAGAUAUCAGGAGGAACACCCGUAGCGAAGGCGGCACUCUGGGCCGAUACUGACACUGAGGAGCGAAAGCGUGGGGAGCGAACAGG